rnacentral:lncRNA from 1 species
GCGAUAUCCCAGGACAAAGUAUCGCCGACCCUUUCGUUUAUUAAGCACAUGCGGAAGCAGUUAAAAUCCCCAGACAAUAAAAUGAUGGGAUAGAAAAGAAGGGCCAUAUUUUUCAUAUUGAAAUUUAUAACCAAACUUUUAUACAAAACACAAACCAAUUUAUAACUAUUCACUUCAAAAGAAAUUCUCAAAAGAAGAUAGACUCUCAGCCCAUCCAGGCCAUACUCAAGGCCCCUCUCAAGAUUAUCUUCUUCUUCCAAAAAUCCUUCUCUUUAAGUUUCACCUCCGAGUUCUCCUUCUCAGACUCCUCCUCAUCAGCUCCUCAUCGGGGU